CGCCGGCUGGUGGGGGCACGAGGAGGCCACGCGCUUCCGGAUGGCACCGACGUUCGAACCCACGCCCGGCGC
rnacentral:tRNA from 1 species